rnacentral:tRNA from 1 species
CUGGAGGUAGCUUAAAGGUUUAAAGCUUAGAAUUCUUACUUCUGGGAUAUCGGUUAUGAUUCUCUGGG